UACGAACCGAGCGAACGUUGUUCGGAAUCACUGGGCUUAAAGGGCGCGUAGGCGGGUGCUCAAGUCCGUGGUGAAAUCCUCCGGCUCAACCGGAGAACUGCCUCGGAUACUGGGCGUCUCGAGUGUGGUAGGGGUAUGCGGAACUAUCGGUGGAGCGGUGAAAUGCGUUGAUAUCGAUAGGAACUCCGGUGGCGAAGGCGGCAUACUGGACCACCACUGACGCUGAUGCGCGAAAGCCAGGGGAGCAAACGGG
rnacentral:rRNA from 1 species